AUUGAACGCUGGCGGAAUGCCUAACACAUGCAAGUCGAGCGGAGUAGCAAUACUCAGCGGCGGACGGGUGAGGAAUACAUAGGAAUCUGCCUUUAGGUGGGGGAUAGCCAGGGGAAACUCUGGGUAAUACCGCAUGAUCUCGUGAGAGCAAAGGGGCGCAAGUCUCGCCUUUAGAGGAGCCUAUGUCUGAUUAGCUAGUUGGCGGUGUAAUGGACCACCAAGGCAAUGAUCAGUAACUGGUCUGAGAGGACGAUCGGUCACACCGGAACUGAGACACGGUCCGGACGCCUGCGGGAGGCAGCAGUGGGGAAUAUUGGACAAGGGGCGAAAGCCUGAUCCAGCAAUUCCGCGUGUAUGAAGAAGGCCUUCGGGUUGUAAAGCACUUUAGUUGGGGAAGAAACAGCUUGGCCACACCAAGCCUUGACGGUACCCAAAGAAUAAGCACCGGCUAACUCUGUGCCAGCCGCCGCGGUAAAAC
rnacentral:rRNA from 1 species